rnacentral:rRNA from 1 species
GAUGAACGCUGGCGGCGUGCCUAACACAUGCAAGUCGAGCGGAAAGACGCGAGCUUUCCUGGGUUCACGAUUGGCGCGGGGGUGAGUAACACAUGUGUGUCCUGUCCUGCACUGCGUGAGAUGCCUUGGAAACUGCGGCUAAUACCGCGGAGGACAUUUUGAUGGAUACGGUUCUGUAAAGAUAGUUCGUUUUGGUGUGGCUCCGCGCCCUAUCAGCUUGGCGUUGGGGUAAUGGCCUACUAAGGCAGCGACGGGUAUCCGAUAUGUGAGGGUGGACGGCCACACUGGAACUGAGACACGGCCCAGACGCCUACGGGAGGCAGCAGUAGGGAAUCGUGGGCAAUGGGCGAAAGCCUGACGCAGCAACGCCGCGUGAGUGAGGAAGGUCUUCGGAUUGUAAAACUCUGUUAUUAGGGAGGAACAACUUUUAAAGAAACAAUGCGGGUCUUGACGGUACCUAAAGAAAAAGCCACGGCUAACUUCGUG